rnacentral:lncRNA from 1 species
ACUUUAUCAAGUUGAUGAGAAGAAUAAUUAAGCUCAAGGAGAAUAAUUUAUCAGUUCUUCUUCUGAUGUGAAGAAGCAGAAGGUGGAUGAGAAGAAGAGGAAGUGAAACUGUCCUCAGUACCUGGCCACCCUAAAGAAUAAGAAGGAUGGUCCUUCUGGAGGUAUGCUCAUUUUAGAAUCUAACCUUACGGUUUCUUCUGCAUCCAGUUGGGUGCUUGACUCUGGUUCUAGUGCUCAUUUGUGUACUUCUAUGCAGGGUCUU